GGUCUACACCAUACCACCCUGACCAUGCUUGUCUGAUCUUGGAAGAUAAGCAGGGUUGGGCUUCUUUAGUACUUGGAUAGGAAAAAAUUGAGAUGGCCC
rnacentral:rRNA from 1 species